rnacentral:rRNA from 1 species
UACGUAGGGGGCUAGCGUUGUCCGGAAUCAUUGGGCGUAAAGAGCGUGUAGGCGGUCCGGUAAGUCCGCUGUGAAAGUCGGGGGCUCAACCCUCGAAUGCCGGUGGAUACUGUCGGGCUAGAGUGCGGAAGAGGCGAGUGGAAUUCCUGGUGUAGCGGUGAAAUGCGCAGAUAUCAGGAGGAACACCUAUUGCGAAGGCAGCUCGCUGGGACGUAACUGACGCUAAGGAGCGAAAGCGUGGGGAGCGAACAGG